rnacentral:rRNA from 1 species
UACGAGGGGGGCGAGCGUUGUUCGGAAUUAUUGGGCGUAAAGGGCGCGUAGGCGGUGCGGUAAGUCACCUGUGAAACCUCUGGGCUUAACUCAGAGCCUGCAGGCGAAACUGCCGUGCUGGAGUGUGGGAGAGGUGAGUGGAAUUCCUGGUGUAGCGGUGAAAUGCGCAGAUAUCAGGAAGAACACCCGUGGCGAAGGCGGCUCUCUGGGACGGUACUGACGCUGAGACGCGAAAGCGUGGGGAGCGAACAGG